UAGGGAAUCUUCGGCAAUGGGGGGAACCCUGACUGAGCAACGCCGCGUGAGUGAAGAAGGUUUUCGGAUCGUAAAGCCCUGUUGUUAAGGAAGAACGAGUGUGAGAAUGGAAAGUUCAUACUGUGACGGUACUUAACCAGAAAGGGACGGCUAACUACUUGCCAGCAGCCGCGGUAAUACGUAGGUCCCGAGCGUUGUCCGGAUUUAUUGGGCGUAAAGCGAGCGCGGGCGGUUAGAUAAGUCUGAAGUUAAAGGCAGUGGCUCAACCAGAGUAGGAUUUGGAAACUGUUUAACUUGAGUAGAGAAAGGGGGAGUGGAAUUCCAUGUGUGGCGGUGAAAUGCGUGGAUAUGUGAAAGAACACCGGUGGCGAAAGCGGCUCUCUGGUCUGUAACUGACACUGAGGCUCGAAAGCGUUGGGGGCGAACAGG
rnacentral:rRNA from 1 species